AAUCACAGCACUGAGUGAUAAAUUCUGCGGUAUCUUUAGGAAUGUCAGAUUGAAAAUUGAAGUGGAAAGUUGAAGCACUUGAAAAAUGAAAGGUGAAGGAAGAUGUUCUUUCUCCUUUUUGAAAAGGAAAUGCUAAUUGCUCUCUCUCUCUCUCUCUCGACACACACACACACACACACAUAUAUAUAUAGUAUAUAUAUAUAGAUAUAGAUAUAGAAAGAAUAUUUGUACAUUAUCAGUAACAGGGGGAAGAUUAAAUCUUUCAGAGAACAUUACUAAUUUAACGGCUAGUUCUGCAGCUUCUGAAAAUUGUUAUUAAAAUUCUAUUUUGUAAUACUUUUAGCAUGAUAUCAUGUUAAUUUAGCUUAGUUGAAUUCUGGAGUGAUUUACUCUCUUUAAUCUGGUUUAAAUAUGGUAUAAGUUUUCCAGUACUGGAAAGCAUCAAGAAAUUCGAACUAAGAGAUACUGUUCGAGAAGGAUGGAGAGCAAGCAUCAGAAAGUUCUGGAGUACAUUCUUUAUAUUUUUCCAAAGCAAUCUUGUCGUAAGGGUUUUAGCAUUGUAGCCGACUAGCUUUCUAAAGAGGUUUAUUUGUUGUACAAAAGC
rnacentral:lncRNA from 1 species